rnacentral:rRNA from 1 species
GAUCAUGGCUCAGGAUGAACGCUAGCGGCAGGCUUAACACAUGCAAGUCGAGGGGCAGCGAGAUCAAAGCUUGCUUUGGUUGUCGGCGACCGGCGCACGGGUGCGUAACGCGUAUGCAACCUACCCACUACAGGGGGAUAACACUGAGAAAUCGGUACUAAUACCCCAUAAUAUCUUGGAGGGCAUCUUCCGAGGUUGAAAACUCCGGUGGUAGUGGAUGGGCAUGCGUUGUAUUAG